rnacentral:rRNA from 1 species
AGAGUUUGAUCCUGGCUCAGGACGAACGCUGGCGGCGUGCUUAACACAUGCAAGUCGAACGGAAAGGCCCUUCGGGGUACUCGAGUGGCGAACGGGUGAGUAACACGUGGGUGAUCUGCCCUGCACUCUGGGAUAAGCCUGGGAAACUGGGUCUAAUACCGGAUAGGACCGCAUGCUUCAUGGUGUGUGGUGCAAAGCUUUUGCGGUGUGGGAUGAGCCCGCGGCCUAUCAGCUUGUUGGUGGGGUAAUGGCCUACCAAGGCGACGACGGGUAGCCGGCCUGAGAGGGUGACCGGCCACACUGGGACUGAGAUACGGCCCAGACUCCUACGGGAGGCAGCAGUGGGGAAUAUUGCACAAUGGGCGCAAGCCUGAUGCAGCGACGCCGCGUGAGGGAUGACGGCCUUCGGGUUGUAAACCUCUUUCAGUAGGGACGAAGCGAAAGUGACGGUACCUACAGAAGAAGGACCGGCCAACUACGUGCCAGCAGCCGCGGUAAUACGUAGGGUCCGAGCGUUGUCCGGAAUUACUGGGCGUAAAGAGCUCGUAGGUGGUUUGUCGCGUUGUUCGUGAAAACUCACAGCUUAACUGUGGGCGUGCGGGCGAUACGGGCAGACUAGAGUACUGCAGGGGAGACUGGAAUUCCUGGUGUAGCGGUGGAAUGCGCAGAUAUCAGGAGGAACACCGGUGGCGAAGGCGGGUCUCUGGGCAGUAACUGACGCUGGGGAGCGAAAGCGUGGGUAGCGAACAGGAUUAGAUACCCUGGUAGUCCAA